rnacentral:lncRNA from 1 species
GAGCUAUAUGCUAGGCUAGAGGGCAGGGGAUUGAAGGGAGAAUAUCAGGCAGGGCAAGGUCAGCACUAGGCCUUCAGUGGGAAGAGUCCAACCAGUUCCACUCCUCUUCCCCAGAUGUGUAGAACCUCAGAGAGGAACCUGGAUUAAAGGACUACCAAAGAUGACACUAUGAGGAUAUACCCGUGUUCAGAAUUGGGGGGGUUGGUGGAGAGCCAGGACCCAUUUUUGGAGCCCAGCCUAGGGAGAAGAAGUGGGAAGGGAGAGUCCGGGCAAUGCCUGGAUAGCACAGUACUGUUGUAGCGUCAAAUGAGGCAAGGCACCGAACAUAGUAAAAGAUAGUUUUAUUUGGCUGCAGCCAGGCUCAGAGGGCACAGAUUUUGCUGUAAUCAAUCAAUCCCAUGAACUCCGAUUUCAGGUACUUUCAGAAUUUUAUACCCAUCAUGUAAGGACAAGGGCUCAGAAGUUCACAGUCUUCAGAAGUUCACAUAAAAGCAGCUUUUUCUUUCAAUGUUUUGUGCAAGUUAACUCUUCAAGGACAACUCCUGAAAAGGGGAGAGAUUCUUUUCCCCAUUUUUUCUCUCCCUGCCAGUUGUUACUAUGGAGCCCAGUGGGUAACAUAUCUUAAAAAUGUAGACAUCUCUGUGAAGCCCAGCACAAGACCAGAGGCCUUGUUUGCA